AACGAACGCUGGCGGCAGGCCUAACACAUGCAAGUCGAACGCAUCGCAAGAUGAGUGGCGCACGGGUGAGUAACACGUGGGAAUGUAUCCUUUGGUUCGGAAUAACGUCUGGAAACGGACGCUAAUACCGGAUGAGCCCUUAGGGGGAAGGAUUUAUCGCCGAAGGAGCAGCCCGCGUCUGGUUAGGUAGUUGGGGGGGUAAAGGCCUACCAAGCCGACGAUCAGUAGCUGGUCUGAGAGGAUGAUCAGCCACACUGGGACUGAGACACGGCCCAGACUCCUACGGGAGGCAGCAGUGGGGAAUAUUGGACAAUGGGCGCAAGCCUGAUCCAGCCAUGCCGCGUGAGUGAUGAAGGCCUUCGGGUUGUAAAGCUCUUUCGCACACGACGAUGAUGACGGUAGUGUGAGAAGAAGCCCCGGCUAACUUCGUGCCAGCAGCCGCCGUAACAC
rnacentral:rRNA from 1 species